CCUACGGGAGGCAGCAGUGAGGAAUAUUGGUCAAUGGGCGCGAGCCUGAACCAGCCAAGUCGCGUGAGGGAGGACGGCCCUACGGGUUGUAAACCUCUUUUGCCGGGGAGCAACGGGCGUCACGUGUGGCGCCACUGAGAGUACCCGGAGAAAAAGCAUCGGCGAACUCCGGGCCAGCAGCCGCGGUAAUACGGGGGAUGCGAGCGUUAUCCGGAUUUAUUGGGGUUAAAGGGUGCGUAGGCGGAUCGUUAAGUCAGUGGGCAAAUUUAGGGGCGCAGCCCCUUCCCGCCAUUGAAACUGGCGGUCUUGAGUGGGAGAGAGGGAGGCGGAAUGCGUGGUGUAGCGGUGAAAUGCAUAGAGAUGACGCAGAACCCCGAGUGCGAAGGCAGCAUGUCGG
rnacentral:rRNA from 1 species